GCAGGGUAUGGGGGUGCAUGCCUGUAAUUCCAGCUACUUGGGAGGCUGAGGCAGGAGGAUCACAAGUUCAAGGCCAGCCUGGACAAUUUAACAAGACCCCUGUCUCAG
rnacentral:sRNA from 1 species